CAAACGGCAUACCAAAGCUACGGAAACCUGCUUGCAGGUUUGGUAGAGGAGCAUUCCAAAUGCAUCGAAGCGGAAGGGUAACCAACCGUGGAGCGUUUGGAAGAGAGAAUGCAGACAUAAGUAACGUCAAAGUAGUUAAAUACUACUUCACCAGAGUUCCCAAGAUUUCCUAGGCAACGAUUUACGUCCUAGGGUUAGCCGGGUCCUAAGUGAAUUUCAUUAUUGAAUAAGCGAUGGAUAUCGGGUUAAUAUUCCCGAGCCGUUUGCACCCUAGCUGUCUCAUGACGCGGGGCAACACACAGACAGACCUUAAUGACUUGGCAGGAAGGACCUCGGUCCAACCGCGUCUGUGCAAGCACCGCCGAGAAAAGUGUGACAGUAUAUGCAAGCGCCCGUAUUUAAACCGACUCAGGUGGGAAAAUGUAAUACAUUAAGGUGAAAGAGUGAAACCUUGUUAAGGAACUCUGCAAUCUAGCCCCGUAACUUCGGGAGAAGGGGUGCCAGCGCAAGCUGGUCGCAGUAAAUUGGAUCAACCGACUGUUUACCAAAAACACAGCAUUGUGCGAAGACGAAAGUCCAAGUAUACGAUGUGACACGUGACCAAUGCGGAAAAAUCAAGGCAAGAUGUUAGCGCAAGCAAAGCUUCGAACCUAAGUUCCCGUGAAUGUCGGCCGUAACAAUAACGGUCCUAAGGUAGCGAAAUUCCUUGUCGGGCAAGUUCCGACCUGCACGAAUCGUGUAACGAGUUGACCGCUGUCUCAACAAGGUGCUCAGUGAAAUUGUAAUAGCAGUAGAUGCUGCUUAAUUGCGGAAGGACGGAAAGACCCUAUGCACCUUAACUGUAAGCUGUUAUUGAUUUGUCGGUUUUUUUGCUUAGCGUAAGUGGGAGGCUUUGAAGUUGUUCUUUCGGGAACAGCGGAGCCGUCAAUGAAACACCACCCUUAAAUGCUAAUGAAUCUAACCACUGUAUGUGGGAAAAUGACAGUCGGUCAGUUUUACUGGGGCGGUAUCCUCCCAAAAAGUAACGGAGGAGUGCGAAGGUUGGCUUAGCGCGGUUGGCAAUCGCGCUGCAAGCAUAUAGGCAUAUGCCAGCUUAAUUGUAAGACAUACAAGUCGAGCAAAUACGAAAGUAGGCCUAAGUGAUCCGGCGGUUUAAUAUGGAAUUGCCGUCGCUUAACGGACAAAAGGUACGCUAGGGAUAACAGGCUGAUCUAGCCCAAGAGUUCAUAUCGACGGCUAGGUUUGGCACCUCGAUGUCGGCUCGUCGCAUCCUGGGGCUGGAAAAGGUCCCAAGGGUCCGGCUGUUCGCCGGUUAAAGCGGUACGCGAGCUGGGUUCAGAACGUCGUGAGACAGUUCGGUCCUCUAUCCUCCGUAGUCGUUAGAGAAUUGAGGAAUUCACUUUUUAGUACGAGAGGACCGAAAGUGACGCAUCCAUGAUACACCAGUUGUCACGUCUGUGGCAUGGCUGGGUAGUUAUAUGCGGAUAAGAUAAGCGCUGAAAGCAUCUAAGCGCCAAGCUAUUUCCAAGAUAAAUUCUCUAUUUGGAUCGUGGGAGACUACCACGUUGAUAGGAGUUGGGUGCAGGUGGAGUAAUUCACACAGCUCAAACUUACUAAUCAUCCAAAAG
rnacentral:rRNA from 1 species